rnacentral:piRNA from 1 species
UGAAUCUAUAGCUUUGUUCAGAGAGAUUA